UACGGAGGGUGCAAGCGUUGUCCGGAUUUAUUGGGCUUAAAGGGUGCGUAGGCGGCCCGUUAAGUCAGUGGUGAAAGCCUCCAGCUCAACUGGAGAACUGCCAUUGAUACUGACGGGCUUGAGUACAGACGAGGUUGGCGGAAUUGAUAGUGUAGCGGUGAAAUGCAUAGAUACUAUCAAGAACUCCGAUUGCGUAGGCAGCUAACUAGGCUGUAACUGACGCUGAGGCACGAAAGCGUGGGGAGCGAACAGG
rnacentral:rRNA from 1 species